GGUUUUUGAUUAAUAGGAUGUCGAAGGGUACAUCGAUACUAUAAAAGUGGAAAGAGAUUGUUAUCGCUUGUCUCACAAUUGCUUCCAAGACGAGGAUAAAAGACUUCUCAUUGAUUAUUUUUUUAUUACUUAUUAUAAGAUUGUGAAUGUGAGGAUAAGUCAUCAUCUGAUGAUGAAAACAGAGCUUCUCAUUCUCCGUGAACUUUACUGGGAAAUGCUAUCAGUGACAUCUUGGUUAUCAUAUUCAUUUGAUCUUUGGUUCAUGUUGUGUUGAGUCUUACUAUAUUCGUUGGAUUUUUCUGCAAGAUCAUCUAAUACUAAUAGAACUUCUGGGACAUCUGCAACUGCGGGUUCUAAUCCAGCUCCUCUGCGUUGGGAUCGACAAAGGCGGUGAUGGUUAGGAAUGUUCAGAUUGCCACUAUGUUGUAUGAAGUACUGAAGACUAUGCUAACUCAUCAAACUAUCGAGGAGAAGGAAACAAACAUUCUACAACACAAUAGAAACAACUAAGAGGUUCAUGACAAAUAUAUUUGGUUGGUACUAGGAACUUUGUUCAGAAUGUGUAACAAGACUAACAAGUCUUCUGGGACGUCAUUUGUAUGCAACAAUGCUGCCCCUAAUCACCAAGUAUAAAAUUGAUAGGGAGAUUGAAUAUGACAACGAUGUCGGUUGUUUCGUCUUUUGGAACGAGGAUUGUUUCAUUAUUGGGAUGUCUGCACAUGAUUUACGACAAGUUAUGAAACAGAUGUGUAAAAAUGUUUCAACUGAUAAAUUUACAUCAGUUAAGAAUGUGUACUGUAUUGCAGACAUCAAAAGUAUUUAACAAUAACUCAUCUUUCUCGAUUUCUGCUCACAUGAGGAAGUUCACAAGUGUUUUUAACCGACUUCUAUCCAAAUGUCUUGAAAUGCUAUGGAGAAUUUCCAUGAACUAGCAACCAUUUGUGACCAUGGGAACAGAAUUCUAACACCGCAAAAUCAACCCACUUUAGAGCCAAUAGCAAAUUCUGAUAUCAAACCAGAUGUUAUAUCAGACUGAAGUUUUGGAGCCUGAGUCCCAUUUCAUCAUCCCUCAAGAUCAAUGCAAAUCUAGAGGCUAUGGAGUCUGAAUUCAAAAAAGAAAGCAAGUAGUUUCAGCCUGAUGGAAGAGAAUCAUGCAUGUCCUCCAGAGACAAGAUGGAGAAUGAUACCGGGUUACUAUUUUCGGAUGAUUAUGCAAUGCCUAAUAGACAAUUAUUUAUGCACCUUUUAGCAUAUACCUAAUAGUACUAUUAUAUAUACUCCCUCUAUUUCAGUUGAUUGGUUCUUUAAAUAUUUAAACUUUUGACAAUAAAAUUUAUGCAC